rnacentral:rRNA from 1 species
UGAGGAAUAUUGGUCAAUGGGCGAGAGCCUGAACCAGCCAAGUAGCGUGCAGGAUGACGGCCCUAUGGGUUGUAAACUGCUUUUAUGUGGGGAUAAAGUGCGUGACGUGUCAUGCAUUGCAGGUACCACAUGAAUAAGGACCGGCUAAUUCCGUGCCAGCAGCCGCGGUAAUACGGAAGGUCCGGGCGUUAUCCGGAUUUAUUGGGUUUAAAGGGAGCGUAGGCUGUCUAUUAAGCGUAUUGUGAAAUAUACCGGCUCAACCGGUGGCUUGCAGCGCGAACUGGUCGACUUGAGUAUGCAGGAAGUAGGCGGAAUUCAUGGUAGAGCGGUGAAAUGCUUAGAUAUCAUGACGAACUCCGAUUGCGCAGGCAGCUUACUGUAACAUAACUAACGCUGAUUCUCGAAAGUGCGGGUAUCAAACAUG